GUAGGUGGCAAGCGUUGUCCGGAAUUAUUGGGCGUAAAGCGCGCGCAGGCGGUUCUUUAAGUCUGGUGUGAAAGCCCACGGGCUCAACCGUGGAGAGUCAUUGGAAACUGGAGAACUUGAGUACAGAAGAGGAAAGCGGAAUUCCACGUGUAGCGGUGAAAUGCGUAGAGAUGUGGAGGAACACCAGUGGCGAAGGCGGCUUUCUGGUCUGUAACUGACGCUGAGGCGCGAAAGCGUGGGGAGCAAACAGGAUUAGAUACCCUGGUAGUCCACGCCGUAAACGAUGAGUGCUAAGUGUUAGGGGGUUUCCGCCCCUUAGUGCUGCAGCUAACGCAUUAAGCACUCCGCCUGGGGAGUACGGCCGCAAGGCUG
rnacentral:rRNA from 1 species